rnacentral:rRNA from 1 species
AUUGAACGCUGGCGGCAGGCCUAACACAUGCAAGUCGAGCGGAUGAAGGGAGCUUGCUCCUGGAUUCAGCGGCGGACGGGUGAGUAAUGCCUAGGAAUCUGCCUGGUAGUGGGGGAUAACGUCCGGAAACGGGCGCUAAUACCGCAUACGUCCUGAGGGAGAAAGUGGGGGAUCUUCGGACCUCACGCUAUCAGAUGAGCCUAGGUCGGAUUAGCUAGUUGGUGGGGUAAAGCCCUACCAAGGCGACGAUCCGUAACUGGUCUGAGGGGAUGAUCAGUCACACUGGAACUGAGACACGGUCCAGACUCCUACGGGAGGCAGCAGUGGGGAAUAUUGGACAAUGGGCGAAAGCCUGAUCCAGCCAUGCCGCGUGUGUGAAGAAGGUCUUCGGAUUGUAAAGCACUUUAAGUUGGGAGGAAGGGCAGUAAGUUAAUACCUUGCUGUUUUGACGUUACCAACAGAAUAAGCACCGGCUAACUUCGUG